GAUGAACGCUAGCUACAGGCUUAACACAUGCAAGUCGCGGGGCAGCAUGGGGGUUGCUUGCAAUCCCCGAUGGCGACCGGCGCACGGGUGAGUAACGCGUAUCCAACCUGCCCUUCACCACGGGAUAACCCGGCGAAAGUCGGACUAAUACCGUAUGUUGUCCAUUGACGGCAUCCGAUUUGGACGAAAGGUUUUGCGGUGAAGGAUGGGGAUGCGUCCGAUUAGCUGGACGGCGGGGUGACGGCCCACCGUGGCGACGAUCGGUAGGGGUUCUGAGAGGAAGGUCCCCCACACUGGAACUGAGACACGGUCCAGACUCCUACGGGAGGCAGCAGUGAGGAAUAUUGGUCAAUGGGCGUAAGCCUGAACCAGCCAAGUAGCGUGCAGGAUGACGGCCCUAUGGGUUGUAAACUGCUUUUAUGCGGGGAUAAAGUGGCCCACGUGUGGGUUUUUGCAGGUACCGCAUGAAUAAGGACCGGCUAAUUCCGUG
rnacentral:rRNA from 1 species